rnacentral:misc_RNA from 1 species
UCCGUGUUAACCACGGCAGUCUCCUUAGAGAGCCCAACUUAAUGCUGGCAACUAAGGACAAGGGUUGCGCUCGUUGCGGGACUUAACCCAACAUGUCACCACACGAGCUGACGACAGCCAUGCAGCACCUGUCUCCCUGCUGUAUUGCUACAGGAGUCAUAUCUCUAUGAUUGUCAGGGGAUGUCAAACCCAGGUAAGGUUCUUCGCGUUGCUUCGAAUUAAACCACAUGAUCCACCGCUUGUGCGGGCCCCCGUCAAUUCCUUUGAGUUUUAAUCUUGCGACCGUACUCCCCAGGCGGGGCACUUAAUGCGUUAGCUGCGGCACCCAGGGGGUCAAUACCCCGGACACCUAGUGCCCAUCGUUUACAGCGUGGACUAC